AUUUCAGACUCUGACUUCAGGCCACCCCUCAGCUCUGCUCUCCUCUAUGACUGGUUCCCAGGCCAGAGCCUUGUGGUUCAGCUGUUCAGAUCUUCCUCAUUUCUCUCAGAGUCAGCCUGUUCCUUCUGAAGGGUUUGGAGCUCAGCUGCAUGGAAGGCAGCUGCACGUGUUCGUUCCCAACCAGUGAGCUGGAGAAGGUGCUCCCCCAGACCAUCCUGUAUAAGUACUAUGAGCGAAAAGCCGAGGAGGAGGUUGCGGCAGCCUACGCCGACGAGCUUGUCAGGUGCCCGUCCUGUAGCUUUCCGGCCCUGUUGGACAGUGAUGUGAAGAGGUUCAGCUGUCCUAAUCCUCACUGCCGAAAGGAAACCUGUAGGAAGUGUCAGGGACUCUGGAAAGAACAUAAUGGCCUCACCUGUGAAGAGCUGGCUGAAAAAGAUGACAUCAAGUACCGUACCUCUAUUGAAGAAAAAAUGACUGCUGCCCGCAUUA
rnacentral:sRNA from 1 species